AAGUCGUAACAAGGUUUCCGUAGGUGAACCUGCGGAAGGAUCAUUAACACGUUCUAACACGUAUCCACCCACCGCGCACUCAUACCUCCCCACGUCUCAACAGAGGCAUGGGCCAAAUCAAGUCACAGGGGGAACAGACGCGCAUGAGGCGAAAGCCACGUGCAGCUCUGUGCCUCUGUGUGCUUGUUUAUUUUCACUUUUUUCACCCCAUGAUAUUACUACAAGUUGACUUAUUUUCGGGCUCUGAGUGCUUGCACUCGUGCUCUUUAUUCCUAGUGAAUGAAAAUACAACUCUUAGCAAUGGAUAUCUUGGUUCUC
rnacentral:misc_RNA from 1 species